CUACGGAGGGUGCAAGCGUUACUCGGAAUCACUGGGCGUAAAGCGCGCGCAGGCGGCUUGAUAAGUUGGAUGUGAAAGCCUACGGCUCAACCGUAGAACUGCAUCCAAAACUGUCAGGCUAGAGUGUGGGAGAGGAAGAUGGAAUUAGUUGUGUAGGGGUAAAAUCCGUAGAGAUAACUAGGAAUACCAAAAGCGAAGGCAAUCUUCUGGAACACUACUGACGCUGAGGCGCGAAGGCGUGGGGAGCAAACAGGAUUAGAAACCCCAGUAGUCC
rnacentral:rRNA from 1 species